ensembl:misc_RNA Metazoa_SRP Metazoan signal recognition particle RNA
GCUGGGUGUGGUGGUGCACACCUGUAAUUCCAGCUACUCAGGAGGCUGAGGCAGGAGAAUCACUUGAACCCAGGAGAUGAAGGGCUGCCGUGAGCCAAGGUUGCGCCACUGCACUCCAGCCUGGGUGACAGAGUGAGACUGUGUCUCAA